AUUGAACGCUGGCGGCAGGCCUAACACAUGCAAGUCGAGCGAGCGGCGGACGGGUGAGUAAUGUAUGGGGACUGCCCGAUCGAGGGGGAUAACUACUGGAAACGGUAGCUAAUACCGCAUACUAUCGGAUAACCCAUAUGGGAUUAGCUAGUAGGUGAGGUAAUGGCUCACCUAGGCGACGAUCCCUAGCUGUUGUGAGAGGAUGAUCAGCCACACUGGGACGGAGACACGGCCCGGACUACUCCGGAGGCAGCAGUGGGGAAUAUUGCACAAGGGGCGGAAGCCUGAUGCAGCCAUGCCGCGUGUAUGGAGGAGGCACUAGGGUUGUAAAGGACUUUCAGUCGGGAGGCGUUACCGACAGAAGAAGCACCGGCUAACUCCGUGCCAGCAGCCGCGGUAAUAC
rnacentral:rRNA from 1 species